CUGAAAAGAGGAACGCUUGAUGUAGAUUGACUGUAAGAGAAUUGUCCUUUGUAAUCUGCUAUAAUUGGAUCGAUCAAGAAUAGCACGGUAAGAAAAAACCCGAGAGCGUGCAUGCAUAUUGCCAAGUAAAAACCACGGUGUUAUUGUUGUGAAUUCGUUGAGCAAACAACUAAGUCUAAGUAUAGGUCGAACGCGUGGGAACAGUCCUGUGUUUGACUGUGGUAGUAUAAACCUAGCGAAGUUAGCAAAUCAUCUCGAUCAAAAAAUACAUGGUAUGGACACGGAGGAACGUAAGAAAUGAUUAAAGUGGAGUAAGAUAGGAAUAUGUGUACCUCGACAGACCCAAAUCGAAGAACCAAACUCCAUAGAAAUUCAAUAUGGAAGAGAGUUUGGAAAAUUUAUUUAGGCGAUUUUAAUGUUUAUUUACGAGAUGCAAGAUUAAAGGAUGGACAGACUUGUAAACGAAAAACCUCUAAAUCGCGGGAAAUGAAGAAAAAAAUGUAAUAAGUGGUUAACAUUUUAAUUUGUGUGCGUGGACGAAAAACCGUCUCUGUUACCAGCGACCAAUAAACGAGAAUUUAUUGUUCGUAUUGCCGAUGUCAUUGUAGAACGACUCAACAAGUUAAGACAAGGCAAGCCAAGAAAGUCUUGCCGGAUAAAAACGUAUACGGACUAUACUCUUACUAGCGGAAGACGGGACAGUUUACCGGAACUAGAAAGCAGUGUCAACAGUGUAAAAGCUGAGUAACAAGUAAACAACUGUUUAUUUGUGUAAAAUUUGAUAUUACUCAUAGAGAAGUAAAUUGUUCAAAACGUUAAUCUGUGUGCUAAUUUAUGCAUGCAGCCAAGCGUUGAUGAUUACCGACAAGUCUCGUUUGUUAUUCCUAACUUAUUCGAAUUUUAGUAGAGUGAUCGAUCGGUUCUUUAUUUAAGUAAAUUGCA